CUACGGGUGGCAGCAGUGGGGAAUAUUGGGCAAUGGGCGAAAGCCUGACCCAGCAACGCCGCGUGAUUGAAGAAGGUCUUCGGAUUGUAAAAAUCUGUCCUUGGGGACGAAAAAAAUGACGGUACCCAAGGAGGAAGCCCCGGCUAACUACGUGCCAGCAGCCGCGGUAAUACGUAGGGGGCGAGCGUUGUCCGGAAUUACUGGGCGUAAAGGGUGCGCAGGCGGCGCUUUAAGUCAGAUGUGAAAUACCCAGGCUUAACCUGGGGGGUGCAUUUGAAACUGGAGUGCUUGAGUGCAGGAGAGGAAAGUGGGAUUCCUAGUGUAGCGGUGAAAUGCGUAGAUAUUAGGAGGAACACCAGUGGCGAAGGCGACUUUCUGGACUGUAACUGACGCUGAGGCACGAAAGCGUGGGGAGCAAACAGGAUUAGAUACCCUGGUAGUC
rnacentral:rRNA from 1 species